rnacentral:lncRNA from 1 species
GACAGUCUCCUCUGCUGAAGUCCAGGCUUCAUGGGAGACUGCCAAGGCUGUUUAUGUGGCAGCAGCACCAGCUCCUGUGAUGCAGAGCAUGUGCAACACAGAUGCAGCCUUCGGUGGUGCAGCUGCAAUACCUGCAACCUUAGAUGGAGCAGCUGGUACAGUCGGACCUGCAUCCGCUGAGGCAGCUGCUAAAGAGCCCGCUGAGGUGGAGCCAUAUCAGCUGCUAAACUUCCUAGAAUGUGAAACGAUGCAUUUCU